rnacentral:rRNA from 1 species
GGGGAGUACGGUCGCAAGAUUAAAACUCAAAGGAAUUGACGGGAAGCCGCACAAGCGGUGGAUGAUGUGGAUUAAUUCGAUACAACGCGAAAAGCCUUGCCUAGCCGUGACAUGUGCGGAAGUUUGCUGAGAGGUGGAUGUGCCUGAAAGGGAACCGUAACACAGGUGGUGCAUGGCUGUCGUCAGCUCGUAUCGUGAGAUGGUGGGUUAAGUCCCGCAACGAGCGCAACCCUUGCUAUUAAUUGCCAUCAUUAAGUUGGGCACAUUAAUAAGACUGCUGGUGAUAAACCGGAGGAAAGGGGGGAUGACGUCAAGUCCUCAUGGCCCUGAUGGGUAGGGCCUCACACGUCAUACAAUGGCCGGUACAGAGGGAUGCCAACCCGCGAAGGGGAGCCAAUCUCAAAAAGCCGGUUGUAGUCCGGAUUGUUCUCUGCAACUCGAGAGCAUGAAGUCGGUAUAGGUAGUAAUCGCGGAUCAGCAUGUCGCGGUGA